UGGGAGCCAAAUGUGCAGACAUUGUUCCAAAAUGAAUAUUUGCAUGCAUGGAUGCACGCUUGGAUCUACACACAUGCACAUCUCUCUGUGCUGGGCAUGCAGCGAUCCCUGCCCCUAAGCUGGCCACAUGGUGAAGUGACAACCAACAGUCCAGGCCACUACGUGGAGUUUGACCUGUGGACUGGAAGACGCACACAUGCAGACAUGUUCCCCCAGCUCUGCUGGUGGUGCAGCAGAGAGGACCAGCUGCCUCUUUGGCCAUGGAGGCAGAGCCAGCAUUCACAGGAAGAGGAAGGAAGCUGCUGCGGCAUCACACGCCUGCUGCCUCCCGUGCCUUCCAAGGAACACAGGAGGCAGCUGGUUGGAAGGCAGCAAGAGGAGAGGCAGGGAAGAUAGGAGCUUGCUGCUGAGAGAGCAGGGUGAGUCCACAUUGGGGAAGGGAUGUCAGAUUAUCACCCGACUCCUUUUCGGCACAUCGCCUGCCCUCCCCAAAGUACUCGCUUCUUGGCUGUGCUUCCAGAAAUGUCCACUGGAAAUGAUCUAGGAAAGGACGGAUGGCCCCGAGAGGAGUCCAAAGAGAUGCCCCCAGUUUACUCCUCCAUGUCCUGCUGCUGCUUUAGACGCAAGCUAUGCAAGCACAAAGGUGCACCAGAUCCCUCUGUCAUCUUCCCUGACCACCCAAGGUAUGGCCCUACCACACUGGUCACAAGAAGCAGGAUGGGGCUCUGGGCUUUGCUAGUACACAGAGUAUUCUGAUCUCAGCCUCCAGCUCCACCACUUCUUCUUCCCUUUUCAAAUUACAUGGUCCCUUGGCACCGCCAAAUUGUGAAAUAAGGACAUCAACUGUGGGGACUAGUAUAACACAAGGAAUUCAGGGUGCGUAAAUAAGGGGGCCAGGAAUGUCAUCGGAUGUCAGGGGAGUAGACGGACUGAUGAGAGCGCCUGUCUGGAUUCCCAGAAGCAUGAACUGCCUUGAGGUGGCUCGAGGACAGGAUGAAAAGGACAAUCAAUGAAGGUCUUUGACCAGAACUGGAAACAACGCGUGGCAGCCAAGUGGACUGGCGUGAUGCUGGUUUUGUUACAAGUUCAUUCGAGGACAAAUCAGACACUGCACUUACACGGAAUUGACUCUGCCGUUCAAUUCAUCUUUCCAGGUGGAGGAAAUGGAUUCCAGAAGGAAAACUCCUGCAUGGCAGGCAGCACGGAUGUGGUGUGCAUCCUGACACAUGCAAUGUCCCGCAGAAUGAGAGUGAGACAUGACUCUCCUGAGGGCCUGAGCCCGAGGAGAUUGUCCACAGCACAGAGAGCAGGCCCCGGGUCCGGGUGUGGCCUGGGGGGCAGGCACACAGAUUCAGGCACUACAUGGCCUUGGUUUAAAUCUCACUUCUGCUGCUCACUCAAUGUGUGACCUUGAGCAAUUUCAUUAACCUCUCCCUCAGUUUUCCAUCUGUGAAAUGGAGAGAUUAAUAACAUUCACCUUGUAAAGCUGUCUAAGAGUUUGGUAGAUGAAUAUUUGGAAGUGUUUAGAACAGUGCCUGGCAUAGAAAAUGCUAUAGAAGUGUUCAAUAAACUAAAUAAGGCAGGAAUGUUUUUCAGCCAGGCAUUUCUUUAUGGGUAACACUGGAAAGGAGUGAAGAGGACAACCACACUCGCACGCUAUAAGUGACUUGGGUGUCCUCAUGGCCCCCAGCUCCUGCCAUGUAUGUGCAGGUGUACUCUGUGACCUAAGGAUGUUGCCUAUGAAAUAAGUUGCUAUGACAUGCAUCUGAUUUCUUAUUCGAUUUCAGGAUAAAAUUAGGGUUGUGUCUGUUAGGGGGAAAAUGUGCCCUCAAAUACAAGAAAAUCCCUAGAGAAAGCCUGUUAAAAAUCACAUAUUUAAAAGAUCAAUAAUAUUUUUCUGACAGAGUAUUAGUGACAAUAAAUAAAUUGCCAAAUAGGACUGCAGACUAGCAGGACAGCUCAGUAUUUGAAUGACAGUUAAAGUUCUCAUGGGAAAUAGCAGUGACAACUGAACAUGUCACCAAUGAUGUGGCCUCAAUUGCACAAUAUAUGAGGGGCUCCUGCUGGGAGAGGCAGUC
rnacentral:lncRNA from 1 species